AACAUUCUGGAUAGUCGCGAUAACUCCUAUAAAACCCUUGACCAAACUGAAUUUCUGUACUGUUUGAGCUUCUUCCUUAUCUUUCCGGGCAAGUCUACUAUCUUGGGCUUUUCUAGGAUUCAGAUAUGGCCGACAGCUUAUUCGGGUACCCUUUCAGGCGCUUCUUCUGGAGCCCUCCGAUUUCCGGAGAAUGGUCAGGAUCAGCAGCUCUCAUGGAUUGGCUUGAAUCUCCUUCUGCUCACAUCUUCAAGAUUAACGUUCCUGGGUUCACCAAAGACGACAUAAAGGUGCAGAUUGAGGAUGGGAAUAUUUUGCACAUCAAAGGUGAAGGUGGGAAAGAUGAGCAUCAACCGAAAGACUCUGUCUGGCAUGUGGCUGAGAGGGGAACAGGAAAGGGUGAUUUCUCUCGCGCGAUUGAAUUGCCAGAAAAUGUUAAGGUCGAUCAGAUUAAGGCACAGGUCGAAAAUGGAGUUCUCACUGUAAUUGUUCCUAAAGAUGCUCCAAAAUCGCCUAAAUUGCGAGCCGUUAAUGUCACUAGCAAGCUUUGAGCGAUGGAGACUCGGGCUAUUGAGAUCAUCAUGGUUUGAGAAUAUUGAGGACUUAGAUAAACUAAAUCCUAUCACGUGCGUAAUCAAUUGCGUGUUGUAAUUAAGAAUGAAAGUGUGAUGAACAAUAAAGAUCAUCUAGUCUUUAAAGUGGAACACUACUUCAACAGACCAUAACCACCAGAUACACAUCAAUUCUUAACGACCAAAACUGAAGAAAGUGGUCAGGACGAGGGAUCAUUUUACAAAUCGGGAGUGCUUGAUAAGCCAAUUAAUGACAACAUCGAUGUUUAUGGAAUCCUUGCAAGAAAUCAUGUAGCAGCAGACCUCUCUGUCUUUGAUUGACACAAGUCCUCUGAGAUGAUUCAAGAUGAAAAUCCAAAGAAUCUUUCAGAUACAUACAAGAGAUGGAAACUGAACUGAGCAACAAUUCAUAGAGCAAGUUCUAUCAAGUUUUCUGAACUCACAACUGCUCUACCAAUGCUUGUUUGGAUAGUGCUUCUGACUUGUCAAUUUUGUUCCCAAGAACAAGCAAAGGAAUCUCACUCACAGAAGGUUUCAUUA